GAAAUGCGAUAAGUAAUGUGAAUUGCAGAAUUCAGUGAAUCAUCGAAUCUUUGAACGCACCUUGCGCUCUCUGGUAUUCCGGGGAGCAUGCCUGUUUGAGAAUCGCAAAGCAACACAAAUCACAUUCAUUUUUUGGGUGUGGAAUUGGGCCGAAUUCCUCUUUCAUUUCCGAAGGGGGAUGGCUUGAAAUCUAGAAGGCCGGCUUGGGUAAAACCAAGCGGAUCAGGACAGAUUUAUUUCGGAGCAAUAAUAGUUAAUGCGCUCUGCGCGUUAUCCUUUUUGCUCUGUGUCUGCCCUGGUGUGUUGGCCUGACACUUUCUUUCUUGAAAAAGGAAGAGAGGAACUAGAGUAUCUCGACGAAGGAGUUAAUUACUCCUUCUGACCUCUUAGAUCUCAAAUC
rnacentral:misc_RNA from 1 species